rnacentral:sRNA from 1 species
AGCUGAUGCAACACGACGGCUUUUCCUCCCAGUUCCGUCGUUUCAGCUGUUCCCCUCUGGAGGUUUAUACCUUCACAAUUAAUGGGCCACGGUUCUCCGUCGGCCCUCUUUU